GAAAUGCGAUAAGUAGUGUGAAUUGCAGAAUUCAGUGAAUCAUCGAAUCUUUGAACGCACAUUGCGCCCCUUGGUAUUCCAUGGGGCAUGCCUGUUCGAGCGUCAUUUGUACCCUCAAGCUCUGCUUGGUGUUGGGUGUUUGUCCCCGUCUCUGCGCGUGGACUCGCCCCAAAGUGAUUGGCAGCCGGCGUACUGGUCCUGGAGCGCAGCACAUGUCGCGCAAACGAGUGCCUUGGUACGGCGGCGUCCAUAAGCCCCUCUCUCACGCUCUUGACCUCGGAUCAGGUAGGGAUACCCGCUGAACUUAAGC
rnacentral:misc_RNA from 1 species